rnacentral:rRNA from 1 species
GGGGAAUCUUCCGCAAUGGGCGCAAGCCUGACGGAGCAAGACCGCGUGCGGGAGGACGGCCUAUUGGUUGUAAACCGCUUUUGAUAGGGAAGAAGCUCUGACGGUACCUAUCGAAUCAGCAUCGGCUAACUCCGUGCCAGCAGCCGCGGUAAUACGGAGGAUGCAAGCGUUAUCCGGAAUUAUUGGGCGUAAAGCGUCCGUAGGUGGUUGUUCAAGUCUGCUGUUAAAGCGUGCGGCUUAACCGCAUACCAGCAGUGGAAACUGGGCGACUAGAGUGCGGUAGGGGUCAGGGGAAUUCCCAGUGUAGCGGUGAAAUGCGUAGAUAUUGGGAAGAACACCAGCGGCGAAAGCGCGUGACUGGGCCUGAACUGACAGCUCUCCCCACCCAAGCUAGGGGAGCGAAUGGGAUUAGAUACCCCAGUAGUC